AAGUACUUGUUGCUGGACUCAUGCAGAUGGAUGGAACCCAAUGAUAGAUGGCAUAACACCUAGUAACAGAGGGGCCCGUCUCUGGACGGAGAAGGGUGAUGACGUACAUUUUAAAGUCAUAAGUAAAGUCUGUCACACACCCUAAUGCGUGGUUGAUCAUCGUGUCAGAAAUCCAUGACUGGGUUGGCACAGAGCCGAGAGAGGCACAGCAUGAGGAAGAAGGAGAUACUGUAAGGUUCAAGAGAGCUAAUGUAGCAGAACAACUAUAGCAAAACAGAAGAACGCCUGG